rnacentral:snRNA from 1 species
AUACUUACCCGACAGGGGAGGUAUGAAGAUCACGAAGGUGGUUCACCCAGGGUGAGGCCCAGCCAUUGCACUGCGGCUGUGCUGACCCCUGCGAAUUGCCCAAAUGUGGAAAUCUCUACUGCAUAAUUUCUGGUAGUGGGGGACUGUUUUCACACUCUCCAC